UCAGUGCAGGUUGAUUAAUAUUUAUUUAUUAAUAUUGUUUGUUGUUUAUUUAUUUUAUUAAAAAUAAUUAUAAUUUUUUUUUGUUUAGUAUAUAGAAUAGAAAAGCUAAUAUUUAUUAUAGUUUACUAGUAUAGUAGUAGAAAGUUGAAAUAUUUUGAAAAAUUUUUAUUUGAAAAGAAGAUUUAUUUUAUUGUACCUUGUGUAUCAGGGUUUAUUAAAUAAAUAAAAUUGACAAUUUUUUUCCCGAUUUUAAAAGAGUUAAUAAAUUAUUUUAUUUAAUGUUGAAUAAUUAUUAAUAAUAAUUUAUUAGAAAUGAAAUGUUAAUCGUUUUUAAAGGUAUCUGGUUUUUCUAGAAAUGAAUUUAAUUCAGUAUUUUUGUAUAAUUUAAUUGAUUUUUAAAUUAAAUUUUUAUAAAAUAUAAUAUUUUAUGGGAUGAGCUAUAAAAUAAAUUUUUAAAAAUGUUGAUAAUAUUUUAUUAUAAGUAUGCUUAGAACUAGCAAUCUUUUGUAAGUUUGUUAUAAUUUAUUAAUUGUUAUUAUUAUUUAAUUUUGUUUUAAUUUUUUAUAGAAAUGUUUACUUUAAUUUUGAAAGUAAAUUAAUAAUGAUAAAAUUAGUAUAUUAAUAAUGUAUAAGUAAAUAUAGAUUGUAGGUCUAUAAAAAGAAUUCGGCAAAUUAUAUGUUCGCCUGUUUAUCAAAAACAUGUCUUUUAGAAUUUUAUUUAAAGUCUGACCUGCCCACUGAUUACAUUUAAAUGGCCGCAGUAUAUUAACUGUGCAAAGGUAGCAUAAUCAUUAGUUUUUUAAUUGAGGACUAGUAUGAAUGGUUGGACGAAACAUAUACUGUUUCUUAUAGAUUAAUAAAAUUUUAUUUUUUAGUUAAAAAGCUAAAAUUUUAUUGAAAGACGAGAAGACCCUAUAGAUCUUUAUAAUUUGUAAUUUUUAUUUAUAAAGGUUUUUUCGAAUAUUUUUUUACAAAUUAUUUUAUUGGGGUGAUAGCAAGAUUUAUUAAACUCUUGUAUAAAGUUUUACAUAGAUGAAUGAUUUUUUGAUCCGUUAUUGACGAUUAUUAGAAUAAGUUACCUUAGGGAUAACAGCGUAAUUUUUUUGGAGAGUUCAUAUCGAUAAAAAGGAUUGCGACCUCGAUGUUGGAUUAAGAGAUAAAUUUGGGCGCAGCCGUUCAAAAUUAAAGUCUGUUCGACUUUUAAAUUCUUACAUGAUCUGAGUUCAAACCGGCGUGAGCCAGGUUGGUUUCUAUCUUUAGUUAAUUAAAAUAUUUUAGUACGAAAGGGCCAAAUAUUUGAAAUUAUUUUUAUUUUUGGAAUAUUAUUAAUUACUAUUUUGGCAGAUUAGUGCAAUAAAUUUAGAAUUUAUGAAUG
rnacentral:rRNA from 1 species